GUGAAUUAAACAUGCUUGGUUUCUUCGCUUCGGCAAGGCCCUUGCUUAAAUCACAUCCUAACACCUGUGAACUGUAAGACGUAUGAUGAGGUCUUUGGCCAAGUCAUCGUCUGCCCAUUUUUAACAAACAAUUAAUGUAACAAACGUAGUCUUAUUAUAACCUAAUA
rnacentral:misc_RNA from 1 species